AGUGGAGCCUGCGGCUUAAUUUGACUCAACACGGGAAACCUCACCAGGCCCGGACACCGGAAGGAUUGACAGAUUGAGAGCUCUUUCUUGAUUCGGUGGGUGGUGGUGCAUGGCCGUUCUUAGUUGGUGGAGCGAUUUGUCUGGUUAAUUCCGAUAACGAACGAGACUCUAGCCUGCUAACUAGGCGUAUUUCGACAUCCCAAAGGCCCGCCGGUUUGGGGUUCCGACUCCUUUCUGCGCGCGGUUUUUACUGUCGGCGUACAAACAAUUCUUCUUAGAGGGACAGGCGGCUUCUAGCCGCACGAGAUUGAGCAAUAACAGGUCUGUGAUGCCCUUAGAUGUUCUGGGCCG
rnacentral:rRNA from 1 species